UUAAUACCGGAUAGAUCAAAGAUACUGGAAUGUUCUUUGUUCGAAGGCUCCGGCGCCCAAGGAUGGGUCUGCGGCCUAUCAGGUAGUAGUGGGUGUAACGUACCUACUAGCCUACGACGGGUAAGGGUUGUGAGAGCAAGAGCCCUGAGAUGGAUUCUGAGACAUGAAUCCAGGCCCUACGGGGUGCAGCAGGCGCGAAGACUUUACACUGCGGGAAACCGCGAUAAGGGGACCCCGAGUGCCAGCACCUAGUGCUGGCUGUCCAGCUGUUCAAAAAACAGUUGUUAGCAAGGGCCGGGCAAGACCGGUGCCAGCCGCCGCGGUAACACCGGCGGCCCGAGUGGUAGCCGUUAUUAUUGGGUUUAAAGGGUCCGUAGCCGGCCUAUUAAGUCUCUUGGGAAAUCUGGCGACUCAAUCGUCAGGCGUUCA
rnacentral:rRNA from 1 species